AGAGUUUGAUCCUGGCUCAGGACGAACGCUGGCGGCGUGCCUAAUACAUGCAAGUCGAACGAACUCUGGUAUUGAUUGGUGCUUGCAUCAUGAUUUACAUUUGAGUGAGUGGCGAACUGGUGAGUAACACGUGGGAAACCUGCCCAGAAGCGGGGGAUAACACCUGGAAACAGAUGCUAAUACCGCAUAACAACUUGGACCGCAUGGUCCGAGUUUGAAAGAUGGCUUCGGCUAUCACUUUUGGAUGGUCCCGCGGCGUAUUAGCUAGAUGGUGGGGUAACGGCUCACCAUGGCAAUGAUACGUAGCCGACCUGAGAGGGUAAUCGGCCACAUUGGGACUGAGACACGGCCCAAACUCCUACGGGAGGCAGCAGUAGGGAAUCUUCCACAAUGGACGAAAGUCUGAUGGAGCAACGCCGCGUGAGUGAAGAAGGGUUUCGGCUCGUAAAACUCUGUUGUUAAAGAAGAACAUAUCUGAGAGUAACUGUUCAGGUAUUGACGGUAUUUAACCAGAAAGCCACGGCUAACUACGUGCCAGCAGCCGCGGUAAUACGUAGGUGGCAAGCGUUGUCCGGAUUUAUUGGGCGUAAAGCGAGCGCAGGCGGUUUUUUAAGUCUGAUGUGAAAGCCUUCGGCUCAACCGAAGAAGUGCAUCGGAAACUGGGAAACUUGAGUGCAGAAGAGGACAGUGGAACUCCAUGUGUAGCGGUGAAAUGCGUAGAUAUAUGGAAGAACACCAGUGGCGAAGGCGGCUGUCUGGUCUGUAACUGACGCUGAGGCUCGAAAGUAUGGGUAGCAAACAGGAUUAGAUACCCUGGUAGUCCAUACCGUAAACGAUGAAUGCUAAGUGUUGGAGGGUUUCCGCCCUUCAGUGCUGCAGCUAACGCAUUAAGCAUUCCGCCUGGGGAGUACGGCCGCAAGGCUGAAACUCAAAGGAAUUGACGGGGGCCCGCACAAGCGGUGGAGCAUGUGGUUUAAUUCGAAGCUACGCGAAGAACCUUACCAGGUCUUGACAUACUAUGCAAAUCUAAGAGAUUAGACGUUCCCUUCGGGGACAUGGAUACAGGUGGUGCAUGGUUGUCGUCAGCUCGUGUCGUGAGAUGUUGGGUUAAGUCCCGCAACGAGCGCAACCCUUAUUAUCAGUUGCCAGCAUUAAGUUGGGCACUCUGGUGAGACUGCCGGUGACAAACCGGAGGAAGGUGGGGAUGACGUCAAAUCAUCAUGCCCCUUAUGACCUGGGCUACACACGUGCUACAAUGGAUGGUACAACGAGUUGCGAACUCGCGAGAGUAAGCUAAUCUCUUAAAGCCAUUCUCAGUUCGGAUUGUAGGCUGCAACUCGCCUACAUGAAGUCGGAAUCGCUAGUAAUCGCGGAUCAGCAUGCCGCGGUGAAUACGUUCCCGGGCCUUGUACACACCGCCCGUCACACCAUGAGAGUUUGUAACACCCAAAGUCGGUGGGGUAACCUUUUAGGAACCAGCCGCCUAAGGUGGGACAGAUGAUUAGGGUGAAGUCGUAACAAGGUAACC
rnacentral:rRNA from 2 species